AACAGGAAAAAUGAAGGGUAGUAACCAUAAACCUUAAAUCAAGCAACAGUUUCUCAGUGCACAGCAUGCAGUGAAAUUUGUUAGACUGGCUUCUGGAGGAAUUAAUUAGAAGCACUCACCAUGGGCACAAGAUGUGCAGAGGAAAGGAAGACUUUAGACUUGCAGGUACACCUCCAGCCUGGUCUGGGGAAGAAACUAGAAGGCUGUUGCUGUCAUCUUAGAAAAAGAUGAGAACAGAUGCAGCCAAAAUAUUCACCUUCUCAAAUGUCAGCAGUGCACUACAGUCUUUCCUCAUAUAGUACAAGAGGAUGUGGUUUAUUAUGUGUGCCAGAAUGAUUUAAGACAUUCUGGAAUACCAUCACUUUGCAAAGGAUUUAUGCCUUUUAUAUGCACAAAUUAUCUGAAUGAGUAUCUUGUAACUGACAGCAUUUUGUUUUAUUACAUUGUGUUUUCCCCGUCACUAAAAUAGGAGUCUCUCUAUGCUAGGAUUUUGCUUGCUCUUCAUUUUGGGAGACUGAGGCAGUGAGAGCUGCGCCUUAUUCUGGAUUAUUUUCAUAAUCAUCUGGAAUGCAGUUUGCUCCUUGCCACUCGAGGGAGGAGCAGUUUUACAGCACUGAGGUUAACAU